AUUGAACGCUGGCGGCAGGCUUAACACAUGCAAGUCGAGCGGAGUGGUGGUGCUUGCACUAUCACUUAGCGGCGGACGGGUGAGUAAUGCUUAGGAAUCUGCCUAUUAGUGGGGGACAACAUUCCGAAAGGAAUGCUAAUACCGCAUACGUCCUACGGGAGAAAGCAGGGGAUCUUCGGACCUUGCGCUAAUAGAUGAGCCUAAGUCGGAUUAGCUAGUUGGGGGGUAAAGGCCUACCAAGGCGACGAUCUGUAGCGGGUCUGAGAGGAUGAUCCGCCACACUGGGACUGAGACACGGCCCAGACUCCUACGGGAGGCAGCAGUGGGGAAUAUUGGACAAUGGGGGGAACCCUGAUCCAGCCAUGCCGCGUGUGUGAAGAAGGCCUUAUGGUUGUAAAGCACUUUAAGCGAGGAGGAGGCUACUGAGACUAAUACUCUUGGAUAGUGGACGUUACUCGCAGAAUAAGCACCGGCUAACUCUGUGCCAGCCGCCGCAGUAAGAC
rnacentral:rRNA from 1 species